rnacentral:rRNA from 1 species
AUUGAACGCUGGCGGCAUGCCUUACACAUGCAAGUCGAACGGCAGCACGGGUGCUUGCACCUGGUGGCGAGUGGCGAACGGGUGAGUAAUACAUCGGAACAUGUCCUGUAGUGGGGGAUAGCCCGGCGAAAGCCGGAUUAAUACCGCAUACGAUCUACGGAUGAAAGCGGGGGACCUUCGGGCCUCGCGCUAUAGGGUUGGCCGAUGGCUGAUUAGCUAGUUGGUGGGGUAAAGGCCUACCAAGGCGACGAUCAGUAGCUGGUCUGAGAGGACGACCAGCCACACUGGGACUGAGACACGGCCCAGACUCCUACGGGAGGCAGCAGUGGGGAAUUUUGGACAAUGGGCGAAAGCCUGAUCCAGCAAUGCCGCGUGUGUGAAGAAGGCCUUCGGGUUGUAAAGCACUUUUGUCCGGAAAGAAAACCUUGGCCCUAAUACGGUCGGGGGAUGACGGUACCGGAAGAAUAAGCACCGGCUAACUACGUG